AGCACCAUGUUUUCACCACACUCUUCCGCUUCAGCUGUCUUUUUUGCCUCAUGGCUAUACCCACACUGACCACUCCUUCAAUGAAGACAGUAAUGAGAUCAUCUGCACACUCCACAGAGCUCCAGAGUUACUGUUCAUAGCAAAAGUGUAAUGCUGUCCUUGGAGAUUUUCACCUAAGACUGUGAGUGUGAGUGUGUAAUGGAUUUCAAAGUGUUUAAGUGUUCAGAGCACUCUACAGCCUGGUAAGGUGGCAAGUUUGAAAAGAGCAGCAGAAGGUAUCAGUACUGUAGUGUAACUUGUUCUUUUCCUUUCCUAACAGUGAACAGAGUGCCGAUUAUUAUCGACAGCUACGUCCACCCGGGGUGAAAGUAGUGUGGGAGACCAUCAGGACCCAGCUGGGUUUCCUUGGUCCAGAGGUUUGGAGAAACCUCUUCCUUUUCUUUCAUCACAGCUGUCCUGUGCCAGAUGUUCUGUUGACCCACUGAGAGAGGCGUGUUUGAGAAAGAUCAGGAAGACUGAAGCUCAUGGUAGGAAUGAAGGAGGACCUUGUGAGCUCCACCAGCAGCUCCCUCACAAGGAACUGUUCACAAGUCCACUGCAGGCACGCCCCAGAAGAUGGAUAAAGGCAGCGUUUCAUGAAGACACUGGAACCAAUCUAUCUUCAUAACAGCAGGAUAAAGACAUGGUGAUAAAUGAGUGUGUGGGCCGUCUGCUGAGGACCAGGAGCUCAGGACACUCAGACGGGGGCGUCGCAGCAGGAGUCACCGCGCACCACAAUCCUCUGCUGUUCUGAGAUGUCACACUCCUGCCUGCACAUAGAAACCACAGUGAAGUCAAAGUUCCACCUGCACCUCCACCUGUUCUUGCAACAGCAUGAACACUGACAGAGGAGGAAGGUGGAGGCGCAGCUCCAGCAGAGCAACACCAGAGGU